rnacentral:rRNA from 1 species
AAUAGAUACCCUGGUAGUCCACGCCGUAAACGAUGUCGACUUGGAGGUUGUGCCCUUGAGGCGUGGCUUCCGGAGCUAACGCGUUAAGUCGACCGCCUGGGGAGUACGGCCGCAAGGUUAAAACUCAAAUGAAUUGACGGGGGCCCGCACAAGCGGUGGAGCAUGUGGUUUAAUUCGAUGCAACGCGAAGAACCUUACCUACUCUUGACAUCCAGAGAACUUGGCAGAGAUGCUUUGGUGCCUUCGGGAACUCUGAGACAGGUGCUGCAUGGCUGUCGUCAGCUCGUGUUGUGAAAUGUUGGGUUAAGUCCCGCAACGAGCGCAACCCUUAUCCUUUGUUGCCAGCGGUUAGGCCGGGAACUCAAAGGAGACUGCCAGUGAUAAACUGGAGGAAGGUGGGGAUGACGUCAAGUCAUCAUGGCCCUUACGAGUAGGGCUACACACGUGCUACAAUGGCAUAUACAAAGAGAAGCGACCUGCGAGAGCAAGCGGACCUCAUAAAAGUAUGUCGUAGUCCGGAUUGGAGU